rnacentral:rRNA from 1 species
AGAGUUUGAUCAUGGCUCAGAGUGAACGCUGGCGGCAGGCCUAACACAUGCAAGUCGAGCGGCAGCGGGUCCUUCGGGAUGCCGGCGAGCGGCGGACGGGUGAGGAAUACAUCGGAAUCUGCCCUGUCGUGGGGGAUAACCUAGGGAAACUUAGGCUAAUACCGCAUACGACCUACGGGUGAAAGCGGGGGAUCGCAAGACCUCGCGCGACAGGAUGAGCCGAUGUCCGAUUAGCUAGUUGGCGGGGUAAAGGCCCACCAAGGCGACGAUCGGUAGCU